CCUACGGGAGGCAGCAGUGAGGAAUAUUGGUCAAUGGGCGGGAGCCUGAACCAGCCAAGUCGCGUGAGGGAAGACGGUCCUGUGGAUUGUAAACCUCUUUUGGCGGGGAGCAAUGCCGGGCACGUGUGCCCGGAGGGAGAGUACCCGCAGAAUAGGCAUCGGCUAACUCCGUGCCAGCAGCCGCGGUAAUACGGAGGAUGCGAGCGUUAUCCGGAUUUAUUGGGUUUAAAGGGUGCGUAGGCGGCUUUUUAAGUCAGCGGGAAAAGGUCCGGGCUCAACCCGGGCCGGCCGUUGAAACUGGGGAGCUUGAGUUGGCGAGAAGUAUGCGGAAUGCGUGGUGUAGCGGUGAAAUGCAUAGAUAUCGCGCAGAACUCCGAUUGCGAAGGCAGCAUACCGGCGCCAGACUGACGCUGAGGCACGAAAGCGUGGGGAUCGAACAGGAUUAGAUACCCUUGUAGUC
rnacentral:rRNA from 1 species